CUAUUAUUUUAAGUUUACUUUAGGUUCUUGGCACAAUGUGUUGAACGUUUGGAAAAAUGACACACCAAAACGAAGGGUUUCGAUGGUGUCGUCAUUCUAUUGCUGGCUUAGUUUUGAGCACAUUCUUUCUUGUCCUAGUUCUGACUCUACGCUGGUGAGUGAAGGUCCGUCACUCUUGGUGCCAAGUUACCAGAACCCGCUCCAGCAUGAGGAAGGUCAUCAAGGUGAGGGGGGCCCCACACAUCUCCCACUCCCCUUCCCUUCAGCACCAGGAUUAUCUCAGCUGCUUGUUAGCAGGAUUUUUUAAAUACCCUGUGAACCAGAAAUGAAUCACCCUGAGGAACUCAGACUGGUGCAGGUGAGUGUUGCACAGGCCCAAACCCCAGGUGUUACCCCUGACACCUUUCUUUC
rnacentral:lncRNA from 1 species